rnacentral:lncRNA from 1 species
AGGAUCACAGCCUUGCCUCUGAGCCCUCUUGCUCCGGGCAGUGUGCUAGAACCCGAGGCUACACAGCAAGAGGCAGUUCCGAUUCUCAGAGCUGCAGCCUUGCGGGCUAAAGGAAGUCCAUUCUGACCUGUCUGGUUCCCACAGAACUAUUGCAAAACUAAGUACACUGAAUCCCUGAUACAACAUGCCAGAGACAGUAUACCAUCUCUAAGAAGCAGAAUUCAAGACAGAACUGUCCUUCAUUCUAGGAAGUAGGAAAUCAACACAUAGCAGGAUCGAGCAACUUGUCCCAGGAGUCUUUCAGUCCAUAUAUGACAGAACACAGUACAGUCUCAGGCUACACUUAGUAGGAUACUCCUCCAGGCCAGAGAGGCAGGCAGCCUAAUGAUCCAGAGAGAGCCGCUGCCUCCGGGAGCCCCGACUUUUGCAAAGAGAGUUGUGAUGUUUCCUCUCCCGAUGGUGAGGAUCCACGCGGGAGACUGACUUUGCUUUCUGGUGGGAGACGCCGGGAUGAAAGCCGCCCCUCUCUCCGAUGGCUCUUUGGGGGACAGCUCUUUUUAACAAGCCACUUCCUGCAGCGUGAGGCCUGGGUCCCCUUCCCUCGUUUAAGUGUCAUGCACGUCAGACAUCAAAGCUCUAAUUAAACUCAUUCUUUAAUUGUGUCUUUUUACUUCAUUACUUUCUCCUGUCCUUUGAUGAAGGCCGCACCCCUCUGAUCGGGGCCCCAAAUUAUCGCUUUCUCUUUAUUUUCCAGAGGAUCUGAAAAUGCCUGGCUGUGUUGUUGUUAUCGGCCCACCCCUCCCAUUUUUCCUAAAAGUUGGGGACUCCGGCUCCGUUCGGCCCCAC